GACGAACGCUGGCGGCGUGCUUAACACAUGCAAGUCGAACGGAAAGGCCCUGCUUUUGUGGGGUGCUCGAGUGGCGAACGGGUGAGUAACACGUGAGUAACCUGCCCUUGACUUUGGGAUAACUUCAGGAAACUGGGGCUAAUACCGGAUAGGAGCUCCUGCUGCAUGGUGGGGGUUGGAAAGUUUCGGCGGUUGGGGAUGGACUCGCGGCUUAUCAGCUUGUUGGUGGGGUAGUGGCUUACCAAGGCUUUGACGGGUAGCCGGCCUGAGAGGGUGACCGGCCACAUUGGGACUGAGAUACGGCCCAGACUCCUACGGGGGGCAGCAGUGGGGAAUAUUGCACAAUGGGCGGAAGCCUGAUGCAGCGACGCCGCGUGCGGGAUGACGGCCUUCGGGUUGUAAACCGCUUUCGCCUGUGACGAAGCGUGAGUGACGGUAAUGGGUAAAGAAGCACCGGCUAACUACGUGCCAGCAGCCGCGGUGAUACGUAGGGUGCGAGCGUUGUCCGGAUUUAUUGGGCGUAAAGGGCUCGUANGUGGUUGAUCGCGUCGGAAGUGUAAUCUUGGGGCUUAACCCUGAGCGUGCUUUCGAUACGGGUUGACUUGAGGAAGGUAGGGGAGAAUGGAAUUCCUGGUGGAGCGGUGGAAUGCGCAGAUAUCAGGAGGAACACCAGUGGCGAAGGCGGUUCUCUGGGCCUUUCCUGACGCUGAGGAGCGAAAGCGUGGGGAGCGAACAGGCUUAGAUACCCUGGUAGUCCACGCUGUAAACGGUGGGUACUAGGUGUGGGGUCCAUUCCACGGGUUCCGUGCCGUAGCUAACGCUUUAAGUACCCCGCCUGGGGAGUACGGCCGCAAGGCUAAAACUCAAAGGAAUUGACGGGGCCCCGCACAAGCGGCGGAGCAUGCGGAUUAAUUCGAUGCAACGCGUAGAACCUUACCUGGGUUUGACAUGGAUCGGGAGUGCUCAGAGAUGGGUGUGCCUCUUUUGGGGUCGGUUCACAGGUGGUGCAUGGCUGUCGUCAGCUCGUGUCGUGAGAUGUUGGGUUAAGUCCCGCAACGAGCGCAACCCUUGUUCACUGUUGCCAGCACGUUAUGGUGGGGACUCAGUGGAGACCGCCGGGGUCAACUCGGAGGAAGGUGGGGAUGACGUCAAGUCAUCAUGCCCCUUAUGUCCAGGGCUUCACGCAUGCUACAAUGGCUGGUACAGAGAGUGGCGAGCCUGUGAGGGUGAGCGAAUCUCGGAAAGCCGGUCUCAGUUCGGAUUGGGGUCUGCAACUCGACCUCAUGAAGUCGGAGUCGCUAGUAAUCGCAGAUCAGCAACGCUGCGGUGAAUACGUUCCCGGGGCU
rnacentral:rRNA from 1 species